CCCUCGAUAGCUCAAUUGGCAGAGCGGAGGACUGUAGAUGUUACAACGGUGAUCCUUAGGAAGCUCUGGUUCAAAUCCAGCUCGAGGGA
rnacentral:tRNA from 1 species